rnacentral:rRNA from 1 species
GACGAACGCUGGCGGCGUGCUUAACACAUGCAAGUCGAACGGUAAGGCUCCAGCUUGCUGGGGUACACGAGUGGCGAACGGGUGAGUAACACGUGGGUUACCUGCCCUGCACUUCGGGAUAAGCCUGGGAAACUGGGUCUAAUACCGGAUAGGACCGCACCGUGAGGGUGUGGUGGGAAGUGUUUUCGGUGGGGGAUGGGCCCGCGGCCUAUCAGCUUGUUGGUGGGGUAAUGGCCUACCAAGGCGGCGACGGGUAGCCGGCCUGAGAGGGUGGACGGCCACAUUGGGACUGAGACACGGCCCAGACUCCUACGGGAGGCAGCAGUGGGGAAUAGUGCACAAUGGGCGGAAGCCUGAUGCAGCGACGCCGCGUGGGGGAUGACGGCCUUCGGGUUGUAAACUCCUUUCACCAUCGACGAAGGGUUUCUGACGGUAGAUGGAGAAGAAGCACCGGCUAACUACGUG